ensembl:lncRNA
CUUCCAAACUCAAUGGAACAAUGCACAUACACUUUUCAUGCACGCUGCAACUAAAUUCUAACCUAACAUUGCAGGAGGAUAGACAUCAAAAUGUACGGAGCCACAUAUGUGCAGCAGCCUUUAAAUCACAUCAUAAAAGUCAAAACAACAACAACAAAAAAGUGCAGUUUGUUUGACGUUACGCCCACAACUGACAGCUUCCCAACUUGUUGCUAAAGAUUUACUUGAGCGGUUAACCGUGUUUGUUUGUUCCUGGCGCAAUGCCCACUCACAGUCUCUCCAAAACUGUCCAGAGAGGCGGGGCUUGAGCAGCGGCACGUUGCCAGGCUAAAUUUAGCAGCGCGGGAGAAAGAGUUCAAUGGAGUGACGUUGUAAGCGUAGGCGGGCCGGGGUUCCCUCCCUCCUUGUUUACAGUUGCAGGGUUUCCCUGAAUGUGUGGGAUGAGUUUAGGGGCCAGGGCUAAUAUAUGGAGAACGGCUGGCUGCUCCUGGGCAUAACUCAAAUGGAGAGAAUGGAGGCAGAUCCAGACAGCAUGCAGAAUAACUAUGUGCUGGUCCACACUAAGAACACAUGUGCACGGUCAGACCCAUCCCGUCGCAUCAAGGUGCUCCUUGCCCACAUGGUAGUGGCCAUAGUGGUUGUAUCAGUGAUGAUAUUGGCAUACCUGGUCUAUCGGGCGAACGGAGCUGCAUCCGAGGUGUCGACCCGUAAAAAAGUUAACAUAACCGGCCCGCUGAAAGACCCUAACCACCAGGGAGAAUAUGACAUAUUCACGGCUGAAAAAACGGCUACCUACUUAAUCUACGGCGAGCUGAAGUGCAUUGAGCACACAUACGAAUUAAUUUAUUUGUAUCAAAACUGGAAAGAGCAAAGCCCUGAAAUCAUCCAAACUAAGAAGUAUCACUAUCAGGAUUCCUGCAUUGUAAAAGAGGCGCUGAGUGCCCACCGCAGGGAGGCAACUAGAUCCUUUAGGUGGUGGUGCCCCCUUCCAGAGUGUGGUUUCACGUGUGUCCUCUUGGAAUUUCGCUUUUAUCAUUUUGAUCCUGUGGCUUCCAGGAAAAAGGUAAUGGACGAGGCCUAGUGGACAUGGUGGUGAAGGAUAGCCAGCCUUUUACUAUGGUCAACGACCAGGGAUUCAGGGGGCUGGUAAAAUUACUGGACCCUUCAUAUGUUCUGCCCACCAGACAGGCUUUAAAGGCCAUGGUGGAGGAACUGGACUUGAGCAUCUGCGUACAAGUGCCAGAAGAAUUGUAACACUCUUUCGGUCUAGUACCAAGGAAAGUCUAGCCCAGAUGCAGCAACGCAUGGGAAGACCAAUGCGUAAGCUGCUGAAGGAGGUUGAGACGAGGUGGAACAGCACCUAUAAUGUUGGAGAGGCUGCAUUCAGAUAGAGAAGCUGUCAACUGUGGCGACAUUUGGAUGCAACUGUGCAGAGGAGCAGACAAAUUCAUAGUGCCACAGCAGAUGCCAUCGUAGAGGUCCAGCGCUAUUUAAGAGAACCUCACAUCAACCGAAAUGAUGAUCCACUCCAAUACUGGGAACUGCACAAACUAUUAUUUCCACACCUCUACAUUUUGUCAUUGAAAUUUUUGUGUACCCCUGCAUCCUCUAUCCCCUGUGAGCGUGUUUCUAAAUAAAAAUCAUUAGCCAAAUCUUGUUACUGAAUAAAAUCAUUAGCCCCCCCUUCCCCCCUCCAAAGUUACACAAAAC